rnacentral:rRNA from 1 species
GAUGAACGCUGGCGGCGUGCCUAAUACAUGCAAGUCGAGCGAACAGACGAGGAGCUUGCUCCUCUGACGUUAGCGGCGGACGGGUGAGUAACACGUGGAUAACCUACCUAUAAGACUGGGAUAACUUCGGGAAACCGGAGCUAAUACCGGAAAAUAUAUUGAACCGCAUGGUUCAAUAGUGAAAGACGGUUUUGCUGUCACUUAUAGAUGGAUCCGCGCCGCAUUAGCUAGUUGGUAAGGUAACGGCUUACCAAGGCAACGAUGCGUAGCCGACCUGAGAGGGUGAUCGGCCACACUGGAACUGAGACACGGUCCAGACUCCUACGGGAGGCAGCAGUAGGGAAUCUUCCGCAAUGGGCGAAAGCCUGACGGAGCAACGCCGCGUGAGUGAUGAAGGUCUUCGGAUCGUAAAACUCUGUUAUUAGGGAAGAACAAAUGUGUAAGUAACUAUGCACGUCUUGACGGUACCUAAUCAGAAAGCCACGGCUAACUACGUG